rnacentral:rRNA from 1 species
GAUGAACGCUGGCGGCGUGCCUAAUACAUGCAAGUCGAGCGAACAGACGAGGAGCUUGCUCCUCUGACGUUAGCGGCGGACGGGUGAGUAACACGUGGAUAACCUACCUAUAAGACUGGGAUAACUUCGGGAAACCGGAGCUAAUACCGGAUAAUAUAUUGAACCGCAUGGUUCAAUAGUGAAAGACGGUUUUGCUGUCUCUUAUAGAUGGAUCCGCGCCGCAUUAGCUAGUUGGUAAGGUAACGGCUUACCAAGGCAACGAUGCGUAGCCGACCUGAGAGGGUGAUCGGCCACACUGGAACUGAGACACGGUCCAGACUCCUACGGGAGGCAGCAGUAGGGAAUCUUCCGCAAUGGGCGAAAGCCUGAUGGAGCAACGCCGCGUGAGUGAUGAAGGUCUUCGGAUCGUAAAACUCUGUUAUUAGGGAAGAACAAAUGUGUAAGUAACUAUGCACGUCUUGACGGUACCUAAUCAGAAAGCCACGGCUAACUACGUG